AGGCCCACACAUGAGUUAUGUCUUUCACAGUGUCAGCUUUAUUCAGUCAUAAAGCAAGGGUAAUGUAAUUAUAAAGCAGGCUCAGGAUUCCAAACUCCGUGACAUUUCACCACGUGAUUAACUUGGCUUCUUACAAAGGCACAUAAAGCUGAACACAAGACAAGUCACACAACAAACAAGAUAACACAGCGGGUAGGAAGCUAAGGAACGAAACGUGGUGAGAACCAUGAGAACACACGGAAGCUACUUUGCUGAAGAAAUGUAAGGAGCAGCAGGAGGAGAACUGAGUCAUCACUGUGCUGACCAUCCUGCACCAACGGCCCCCUCAGAGCCUCCAACUGACUAGAGAUAGACAUCUGAAACAGUUCUGCGUAGAUCAGUUAAGCUGCGUAGAUCAGAUCAAUAAAAGUGCCCAGUUGAUCACAGA